rnacentral:tRNA from 1 species
AUCCCAGUAGCUCAGUUGGAUAGAGCAAUGGCCUUCUAAGCCAUGUGUUGAUGGUUCAAAUCCAUUCUGGGAUA